CAUGAAUCCGUGAGUACAGUUUAUAAACCCGUGGGAACGGAUUGCGAAAGCGUGCGCGCGGAUUAUGAAUCUGUGGGUACGGAUUCAAAAACCGAGGGUACGGUUUACAAAAUCUGAGCGCACGGAUUGGAAAUUCGUGGGUACGGUUUAUUAAUCCGUGGGCACGAUUUGUUAAACCGAGGGAACAGUUUAAAGCCGCCUUUCCACUAUCUCCGACGAACGACAAGCGACAGACCGGAAGUCAUUCAUUUCGAAUGGAGAGUAGUGCGGGAGCUGCGUGGAGUUCCGAUCAUAUGCGUAUGCGGAAAAUUCGGAUCCGAUUUGAGCUGCGGAUGCGUUAAAAUAUAUGAACUUCUGCGGCUAGACCGUAUGCGACCGCCCGACCGGAUGUGAUGUAUUCUAUUAAAAACUAUGAGCGUAAGGUUAGAAUUACCAAUAUUUUGUUCACUUUAACAUUAUUCUUUAAACACUUUUUCUGUAAAAUGGUGCUUUAGAAUAGUUAUGGCAGAAAUAAUAUGUUGAUAUUUAUAAAAAAAAUUAUUUAUGUUGAUUAGCCCCAUAAAACCUACUAUGUUUUUAUUUUGGGGGUCAUUUGAUUUGUAACGAUGCAUUCAUACAUUAAUUAUACUCAUUAAAAUGAUUAAUUUUACCAUGGUGAAUAUGCCAAGGUGACGGUUGCUGCACGACCAGUUUGAAAGUUCCGUGCGUCUGCCACUAGGGGGAGAAAUGCGACAGUCGUGUCCGAAUGUCGUGUGCAGUGGAAAGGCGGCUUAUGAAUUCGUGAGUACGGUUUAUAAACUGAGGGAACGGAUUGCAAAACCGUCGGCACGGAUUGUUUUUUUUUUUCUCCUACAGGUGACUUCCCGGGCGUAGAAUGCAAAAGGCAAAGAUGUAUUCAGCUUUCGGGGCAUCCAGCACUCACAACGCUCCACUCACUUCUAAUUUAACAGAAGAGCAAAGAAAGCGGCUCCGUGCUUUGCUGGGGAAUGUGAAACUGUCUCUUCUCUACAAAGCUUCAGUUCAUGGAUAUCAAGCUUCUGCCUUCCAUCAGAGAUGUGACAAUAAGGGUCCCACUUUACUUGUAGCCUACAACCGAUCAGGCUACAUCUUUGGUGGAUACACUAGUGUAGAUUAUGCUCAAAGCGGCAGCACAUUACAGAUAAUCAGACUUUUCUGUUCAGCGUUUAUAGUGGAGCUCCUCUCUGCAUCAGAGUUAACAGUGGAUUUUAUGCACGCUAUGAUGAUGCUGGAGUGCCCAACUUUGGCCAACAGUUGUACUUUUGCUACAACAACUAUCCACUUGUGCAAGAUUUAGGCAAGCAUUAUGAUAGACCAUUCAAUUUUAGUCCUGCCACACUAUAUGGAAAUGACACUUGGCUGAGUGAGUGCGAAGUGUACAAAGUGGAACAGAGUAAGUCAACUAUCAGAAAAAUAUAGUUGUUAAGAAGUUUUUGUGUCUCUAAUCUGCACCCUCAAUGCAGUGUCACACCCCUCUUAGCUUGUUCAGUUCCCUGUUAGCUCCAAGCUCCACCCACCCGAAUUCAAGCCAAUUAGAGCUACCUCUCAGACUUUAUUAGCUGCACCUGUGUCCACAGCUUGCCAUUUGUUGCAUGUGUUUACACAGUGCAGAGGACUGAGUUUUACUCCUUUCUGUCUUUUUCCUGCAUGUGCGUAAUUGACCAUAAACCACACGCACACCCACACAUCUAGAUGCACAAAACCUCCUUGGAUGUACAAUAAACUUUCCUAUACCUGGUUUGACUAGACUGGACCGGUUCUUACCGACAGCCCCACUGGUUUCAAGCUAGCUACCUGACACCUGAUAACUUCUUUUCAAUAGUUAUGUUCUGUAAAUUCAUAUUAUAACUCCAGUCUCUUUCACAAUAAUUACUAAUGUAAUGCCGGUGUCUUGUGUGUUACCGGUGAAGAACUACAGUCAGGAGCUGGAGCUGGAGCUCAACUGUGACGUCCUGCUGCUCACCGCUCUACAGCAGAUGCUUUGCUUUGCAGACGACUAUUUUGAUGAUAUUCGUCCUGUGGAGGGUGACCCUAAAUAAUUGUUUUUCGCAGUUCUUGUGGCUGAGGCCAGAUUCAGAAAAGACCAAAUCAAAAGCUUUUUGAAUCAUUUACAUAUAACUUAAUCAUGGUCAGUCUUUGUCAUUUGUGUUUAUGCAGAAAUAUUCAGUUUAUAUUUUGGUCUAGAAUUUCACUAAACUACGAAAAAGUUUACUUGUUAUUUUUUAAAUAUGUUUAAAUACAGUUAAGUGAAAGGGAGUUCACAUUUUUUCACUCAAUUUGUGUAAUUUCUCUGUACUUUUUACACUUUUCCUAUUAUCCUGAUGUAUAUUAAAGGAUUGUGAAUUUUCA